CUUCCAGUAGCACCUUAGAGACCAACUAAGUUUGUUAUUGGUAUGAGCUAUCGUGUGCAUGCACACUAAUUGGUCUCUAAGGUGCUACUGGAAG